rnacentral:lncRNA from 1 species
UUGUUACUAUAUGAGUAUGAAAAUAAAAAAUAAAGAAAGGGGAGAGUACUUAUCUUGAUAAUAGCCCUCAAAUCCUUGUUGGCUUUGAAGAAAUCGGAGCUUAAAUAAGGAUUGUGAGGUCUAGGAAUGGUAGCACUUUCAGAUUUACGGACGAGUAGGGUCGAUUAGCCUUCGUGCGACGAUCGUCUGCAGAAAACGGAAGCAAAACAACGGUUGAAGGAUGCUUUAAGUUCUGCCGAAUGAAGAAGAGAGAUAGGCUUUAGAUUUUUUCUUUAUUUUGAUUUGUUUUU